UGCGUGACACAAUGUGAACUGCAGGACACAUGAACAUCGACACUUUGAACGCAUAUUGCGGGUUUGUGCUUGUAACAAACCCACCCUUGGAUCAGGGUCGGUGAUAGCAUCCAUCAGGAGUUUGCUCCUGCCAUGUCCAGUCGGCUGCCUCGGCGCAACCGCUGGAUCAAGAUGUGCCUGGCUGUGCGGUCGCCUGCAAUCAACUCUAGGGAUUCCUUUCCCGGGUUGUCUGCACGGCCCGCCUGCCUGCUCGAGGCGCCCGGUGCGUGUUUUUUCUUCGGCGCGCACCAGACUUUUUCCAACUUUCGACCUGAUCUCAAGGGAGGCUACCCGCCGAAUUUAAGCAUAUUAAUAAGCGGAGGAAAAGAAAACAACUGUGAUUCCCUUAGUAAUGGCGAAUGAAAAGGGAUUAGCCCAUCGCCGAACUGCAGGUCGUUCUGGCCUCGCGGAAUGUGGCGUUCGGAAGGGUCUCUUCCAGGUUUGAGACGCCUGUCAAAGUCCAACUUGACAGUGGCUACA
rnacentral:rRNA from 1 species